CAAGGCGUCGUCACUGGUGGCGGGGGCCGUCUUCAAGCCAAGCCGCGGCUGCUUGGACG
rnacentral:tRNA from 14 species